rnacentral:rRNA from 1 species
AGCAGCCGCGGUAAUUCCAGCUCCAAUAGCGUAUAUUAAAGUUGUUGCAGUUAAAAAGCUCGUAGUUGAAUUUCGGGGUUAGUAGGUUGGUCAUGCCUCUGGUAUGUACUGGUCUCACUGAUUCCUCCUUCCUGAUGAACCUUAAUGCCAUUUAUUUGGUGUUCUGGGGAAUUUGGACUGUUACUUUGAAAAAAUUAGAGUGUUUAAAGCAAGCUAACGCUUGAAUACAUUAGCAUGGAAUAAUGAAAUAGGACGUUCGAUCCUAUUUUGUUGGUUUCUAGGAUUGACGUAAUGAUUAAUAGGGAUAGUUGGGGGCAUUAGUAUUCAAUUGUCAGAGGUGAAAUUCUUGGAUUUAUUGAAGACUAACUACUGCGAAAGCAUUUGCCAAGGAUGUUUUCAUUAAUCAAGAACGAAAGUUAGGGGAUCGAAGACGAUCAGAUACCGUCGUAGUCUUAACCAUAAACUAUGCCGACUAGGGAUCGGAUGAUGUUAAUUUUUUAAUGACUCAUUCGGCGCCUUACG